rnacentral:lncRNA from 13 species
AAAAAAAAAAAAAAAGAAGAAGGAAAAAGUCACCCGUGUCAGGUGCUUGCUCGAAUAUUAAGCAACUCUAAAACUGUGUCAAAGCAAAGGUUUUAGUACGAGGUAAGAACCAUCAGCGUAGGGCUGGCUGCUGGUCCUCCGCUCGAGCGGGUCUCAUAGCAACCACUUCAAUUGCUUCCAAUAAAAAUCUGGCUUUUGCAUCUCCCCCUCCUUCCUUCUGAUUCUUCACUCUUUCACGUCUCCCACAGUCUCUCUCUCUCUCUAAUUUUUAUCUCUUCCCUCCUCUGAUUCUUUCUCCAUUUCCCUUCCUCACUCUCCGUGUCUCUCCUUUCUCUUUCCUGCCUACCUCCUGCAGAGUCACAGUUAUUAGUGGCACACACACAUUCGACCCCUUUUCAGGCUGGGCUGCUAGAAUGGAGUGAAUCUGAGACCUCACAGGAGUUGCUGUGUCUCACAGGAUGACUUCUCAAGAAACAGAACAAAGAUCUUGGAAAUUCUGCAACAUAAACUGGGGAAACUCUGCCCUACCUCAGCCUCACUCAGAUAUUGAAACUGAAGCUUCCUCCCAGGAUUCAGCCUACCUGGAUUUUGAGCCAAUGCUUGCAGAAGCAUGUGAAAUUUUUUCCUUAUAUGAGGAAGAAACAUGGAAGCAUGGGAUUAAAAGCUCUGUUGGGUGAGCCUGGAACCUAUCAACUCAUCAAGCUUUUUUCUUCUCAUAGCCCUUGAUGUGUCACCCCAGGACAUAUUUAGUUUCGUGAAUACACAAUGCUUUUCAAAGGUAGAAAAUUUGUUGAUGAUUUAUUCCCUAGUAGAUUUUUUAUUUGUUUGUUUUAUCUUAAGCCUUCUCCUUCAUUGAAAAGUUAUCUUCUAUAUUGUAAAUAUAAUGGCACUUUCCUCAUUCUAAAUUAAUUCUACCUAUUACAUACUUUCAUACUAC